ACUGUUGUUUAUUGAUCUUUUGCUCUUAGAUCAAGCAUAGCAUCUGUCCUUAUCAGUUCAAUACCUGAUAUGUCCACUACUUGUGGUCUGUUUGUGAAACUGACUUUUGGCAAUAGGAAAUGGAAUAACGGCUUGCUUAAUCCAUUCUGUGCAUCAGCCUGGAAUUAUACUAUGUGCAGGAGUGGCGCACUUCCC